GAACAGCAAAGUGUCGUUGGACUUGUUAGGUAACAGGUUGAACCCUGUGCUUUACAGGAACCUGGAAGGCGAAACUGGCCAAACAACAGAAAUGAAGCAUUCUUAAGAACAUAAGAAGUGGAUAAGGAAGUAUCUCUAAAGCUUACGGCAAAUUCAUCAUAGUCUCCUGUAGGACAUGACUGGAGCAGGAAGGUGAGUGUGCAUUUAAUAGAUAAGUUUAAAACAAGUCUAGGUCAGGAGAAGGGGAGAGAUGGGAGGUUCUGGCAACUCUCUCCCAAAGUCUGCUUUGCCAAAUAUUCAAAGACUGGGAAGGUUGGGUUACCUACAGACUCCUGGAUGUAGCUUUUCAUUUAUUGACACUGAAGGGAGGGGCUAUGACCUGGCAGGCUGGAGGUGCCUCACUUUGAAGUUAAGGGGUCGGGGGGAGGCUUCUUCCUCUCUUCCCUAAAGGUAAAGGGAUCCUUCCAGUGAUGGGGAUGACAAGCUUGGAGUAAGUCAGCAGUGCAGCAAACAGGGCAGGUUGCGUUACUUCUUUUUUACUUCUGAAGAAACUGUUUCUAUGGCUGAUGGAGCUGAGGAGGCUGAAGUUGGUUUCUUUGAUUCCAGGACAUUGAAGUUCAGGGAAGAAAAUGCAGCUUCAUCCAUCUGAAAGACUUGAGCAUCGGUCAGUUAAAUCAGUGUCAUAGGUCAGGCCCUCACCUGGUCCAGUGUGAUUCAGUACCACCUGCUAUCACCACUUUGAAACUUUUAGCUUUGGAGAAGAGCUUUUAUCACCCAUUGUCUCUGCUUGCUAACAUCCAAUGAUCAUUGGAAGAGAGAGAUUAUGAUGUUAGUACAAUGGAAUAUGAUGAUGCAAUAAUGAGAAUGAACACACUACAAAUGCAUACAACAAUAUGGAUGAAUCUCACAAAACAAGUGUGAAUGAAAGAAGCCAGACACAUAUAUGGAUAUGCUGUGUCUGUCAUUUAUGAAAUAGCAUAAACAGGCAAAACUAAUCUAGUGCACUGGAAGUCAGGAUAGUGGUUACUCUUCGAAGGGAAGUAGCUGGAGGGGUUUUUGUUGGGGGAUGACAUGUUUUGUUUCUUGAUUUCGGUGCUCCUUACAUCGGUACGUUCAACUUGUGAAAAUUCAUACAUUCUUAAAAUAUACUUAUGAUUUAAGCAC